rnacentral:misc_RNA from 1 species
UACGUAGGGGGCAAGCGUUGUCCGGAAUCAUUGGGCGUAAAGCGCAUGUAGGCGGCCACGUAAGUCGGAUGUGAAGUCCCGGGGCUCAACCCCGGAACUGCAUCCGAGACUGCGUGGCUUAAGGAAGGUAGAGGAGAGUGGAAUUCCCGGUGUAGCGGUGGAAUGCGCAGAUAUCGGGAGGAACACCAGCGGCGAAGGCGGCUCUCUGGGCCUCUCCUGACGCUGAGAUGCGAAAGCGUGGGUAGCGAACAGG